GUGCACCAGUCGAGAACCUUCGCAAUGCGGGAAACCGCGACGAGGGACUCCCAGUGCCUACGCUCAGCGUAGGCUGUUCCCGAGCCUAGAAAGCUCGGGGAGUAAGGGCUGGGUAAGACGGGUGCCAGCCGCCGCGGUAAUACCCGCAGCCCGAGUGGUGGCCACUAUUAUUGGGCCUAAAGCGUCCGUAGCCGGCCCGGUAAAUGCCUGGGUAAAUCGUGAGGCCUAACCUCACGAAUUCCGGGUAGACUGCCGGGCUAGGGACCGGAGGAGGGAGAGGGUACUCCGAGGGGUAGGGGUGAAAUCCUGUAAUCCCUGGAGGACCACCGGUGGCGAAGGCGCUCUCCUAGGACGGGUCCGACGGUGAGGGACGAAAGCCAGGGGAGCGAACCGGAUUAGAUACCCGCGUAGU
rnacentral:rRNA from 1 species